GAUGAAGAACGCAGCGAAAUGCGAUAAGUAGUGUGAAUUGCAGAAUUCAGUGAAUCAUCGAAUCUUUGAACGCACAUUGCGCCCGCCAGUAUUCUGGCGAGCAUGCCUGUUCGAGCGUCAUUUCAACCAUCAAGCCCCAGGCUUGUGUUGGAGCCCUGCGGCUGCCGCAGCCUCCCAAAACCAGUGGCGGGCUCGCUAUCACACCGAGUGCAGUAGUUUACUCUUCGCUCAGGGCGUGUGGCGGGUGCUAGCCGUGAAACCCCCAACUUCUCAAGGUUGACCUCGGAUCAGGUAGGAAUACCCGCUGAACUUAAGCAUAUCAAUAAGCGGAGGA
rnacentral:misc_RNA from 1 species